CGGGGCUCAAACUUACCACCGAAGCUAUGGGUGUACACUAUGUGUACGCGGUAGAGGAGCUUUCUGUAUGGGUUGAAGUCGUACCGUAAGGAGCGGUGGACUGUACAGAAGUGAGAAUGCUGGCAUAAGUAGCGAGAAAUAAGUGAGAAUCUUAUUGGCCGAAAACCUAAGGUUUCCUGAGGAAGGUUCGUCCGCUCAGGGUUAGUCGGGACCUAAGCCGAGGCCGAAAGGCGUAGGUGAUGGACAAUCGGUUGAUAUUCCGAUACCGCCUAUUUACGUUUGAGAAAUGGGGUGACGCAGUAGGAUAAGAUGUGCGCACUAUUGGAUGUGCGUCUAAGCACUUAGGCAUGCUUGAUAGGCAAAUCCGUCGAGCUAAGCUGAGGUGUGAUGGGGAGCCAUUUAUGGCGAAGUAUCUGAUUCCACACUGCCAAGAAAAGCCUCUAUCGAGUGAAUAGGUGCCCGUACCGCAAACCGACACAGGUAGGUGAGGAGAGAAUCCUAAGGCCAUCGGAAGAAUUGCUGUUAAGGAACUCGGCAAAUUGACCCCGUAACUUCGGGAGAAGGGGUGCCUACGAAAGUAGGCCGCAGAGAAUAGGCCCAAGCAACUGUUUAGCAAAAACACAGGUCUCUGCUAAAGCGAAAGCUGAUGUAUAGGGGCUGACGCCUGCCCGGUGCUGGAAGGUUAAGGGGAACACUUAGCGUAAGCGAAGGUGUGA
rnacentral:rRNA from 1 species